rnacentral:rRNA from 1 species
AACGAACGCUGGCGGCAUGCCUAACACAUGCAAGUCGAACGAUGACCUUCGGGUCAUAGUGGCGCACGGGUGAGUAGCGCGUGGGAAUCUGCCCAUUGGUUCGGAAUAACGUUGGGAAACCGACGCUAAUACCGGAUACGCCCUUCGGGGGAAAGAUUUAUUGCCAAUGGAUGAGCCCGCGUCGGAUUAGUUAGUUGGUGGGGUAACGGCCUACCAAGACGUCGAUCCGUAGCUGGUCUGAGAGGACGAUCAGCCACACUGGGACUGAGACACGGCCCAGACUCCUACGGGAGGCAGCAGUGGGGAAUAUUGGACAAUGGGGGCAACCCUGAUCCAGCAAUGCCGCGUGAAUGAUGAAGGCCUUAGGGUUGUAAAGUUCUUUCGCACGCGACGAUGAUGACGGUAGCGUGAGAAGAAGCCCCGGCUAACUUCGUGCCAGCCGCCGCCGUAACAC